AGUCUUAUAUUCAAAUAAUGAUAUGAAAUUGCAAAUUUCAAGGAGUAAUAUAUUUACUAAGGCUU
rnacentral:tRNA from 1 species